GACGAACGCUGGCGGCGUGCUUAACACAUGCAAGUCGAACGGAAAGGCCCUGCUUUUGUGGGGUGCUCGAGUGGCGAACGGGUGAGUAACACGUGAGUAACCUGCCCUUGACUUUGGGAUAACUUCAGGAAACUGGGGCUAAUACCGGAUAGGAGCUCCUGCUGCAUGGUGGGGGUUGGAAAGUUUCGGCGGUUGGGGAUGGACUCGCGGCCUAUCAGCUUGUUGGUGGGGUAGUGGCUUACCAAGGCUUUGACGGGUAGCCGGCCUGAGAGGGUGACCGGCCACAUUGGGACUGCGAUACGGCCCAGACUCCUACGGGAGGCAGCAGUGGGGAAUAUUGCACAAUGGGCGGAAGCCUGAUGCAGCAACGCCGCGUGCGGGAUGACGGCCUUCGGGUUGUAAACCGCUUUCGCCUGUGACGAAGCGUGAGUGACGGUAAUGGGUAAAGAAGCACCGGCUAACUACGUG
rnacentral:rRNA from 1 species